GCCUGUAGCCAUACCAUCUUAGGCUCUGGUCUUGUCACAUUUCAUAAACUAAGCAACAUCAGGCCUUUGAGAGGAGAACCCCAAGCAAAACCAGAUGCUACAGGAA
rnacentral:rRNA from 1 species